GUUUUAUUUCAAAAUAUAAAAAAACAUUUAAAAAAUUUGAUUCACCCCCACCCCCAUAAAAUGUUCUACAAAAUUUUCGAACAUAAAAGAAAUUGUUAUAGCAAAACAAGGUUCUGAAUAAGCACAAUAUGUGAUUUUCUCAUUUUAAAAUGCAACCUUGUAUUUUUCAUUGUUACGUUGUGCUUGGUAGUAUUGAUUUUAGGAAAAGCAUACGAUACAGUACAUGCAAUAAGCCUACAAUAUCUAUGGACGGAAUACCAUGUCCACCAACCCUUGGGCAUCCUUUCUUUUCGACGUUGUCACAGUUUCACGUAAAGUUUGUGCUCUAAGUCUACUCUUACCCACUAAUUAUCUUUGUCCAUUGCAAAUUUGCAAUUUGCAAGCUCUAUAACCUGUGUUCUCUCUCUCUCUCUUCCAUUUGUAACGCUACCAUAGAUGGCCAAUCGAUGGCUUAGGCCUGAGGUAUACCCUUGUUUGCAGCUGUUGGAGUUGCUGUUGGGAUAUGCGGUUUGCAUGCAGUUGGUUCGCAAUAUCUGCAUCAACCCCGAUGUCAGGAGAGAGGAGGAUGAAGAGGAAUUAUUUCACAUAUUUUGAAGGAUGUGUCUGAUGGUUAUGCAAGGGAAGGGUUACCAUCACUGGGUUUAUGUUUGUGCAUCUGUUAUUAGGAGAGUAUUACACUGAUUUAGUAUAAAAACAAACACAUGGUAUAAACUAUAAACUAUAAUGUAUAAAACAUGAGUAGAUGUCAUUUGAUUAAAUUUAUAAUAUUAUAUAAAAAAUUAAACAUAAAAUAUGGAUAGUUGAAAGUAUUACCCUUAAACAUUUAUAAAGAGAUUCAAGGAUGUUACACAAAAAUAGGGAUCAUUUGUAGUUGAAAAACAGUUACACUUCGAUGUUAUGCGCUUCACCCUUCUAUGUUUUGCAAAGAUGAAUAAAUGUGUGCAUGUAUAUUAAUUGUGGUUGAGAUUUUGUAGAGUUUGAAGUUGUUGUGCAUAUCUGUUUGGUAUUCAGAGCAACUUCACUGAUUUUUAAAAAUUAAAGCAAUUAAUAAAUCGAUGAAGUGAUUAAUUAAUGUUAAAGUUGGGUUUAAUUUCCUGUUAAGAAGUUUCAAAUGGUCAUUUAACUCAAUGACACAAGAUCUGUCCAUUGGGAGCAUGUAAACUGAAACUAAACGCGUAAUAUUUUAGUUAAGGGAACCAAUGUGUGCAUAUUUUUUUGCUUCGGGUGGAAAAAUAAAAACAAAGAGAACAGACUACCCUAUGCCAUCACCAAGCAGGGAAGCAUACAAGGUAGCAUGAGGUUGCUCCCUCCGAUAUUACCUAGGCUAUGACCUAUGAGCCACUCUAUUGGCAUCACGUCCCCAAAACCAUCAAACGUGGAGAAACCACCUUCCAGUUUCCUAGUAAAAAUAAACAUAGAACGUAUUAGACUUAGCUGAAAAAUUAACUUAAAAAAAACAUUUAAGAAAUAAAAUCAUUUUCUCUUUAGAUUUUUCCUAUCAAACAAUCAAAUAAUUUUCAUCUUUCUUUCUUCUUCCAAUUUCCUCUUUACCAAACAAUUGGGAUCUGCUUGUUGAAAGAAAAAAGAGAGAAAUUUUGAUGCAGAGGAGGAAAAGGAGAGUUUUUUUUUUAUAUAAAAAAUAUUACUAAACAAUUAUGUAUGCUUGAGAGGAGAAAAAGUAGUCAUUUUCUUGUUUGAUUCACAAGAUGAGUUUUAAAAAUUAAUUUACUUUUGUAUAUCCUUGUAAUUUUAAAUCUCAAACCAUAAGGAAAUUUUAAUCCUGUUGAAAUAUUUUAAAUUUCUUUCCCCAAAAUGAGGAAGAUUUUUGUUUCCCUCUUAACUCUUACAGUAAAAGAAAGAAUUUUGUCCCCCCAGUAGUCUCCCUUUCAUUUUCUUUCCUUCAUUUUUCUUCCAACCAAAUACUAUUUUAGAGCUAAUACAUUUAUAGAUAUAAAUUUCUCUGCCUAUGGUUUAAUGAAGUUGAAAAUUGCUAUUAGAUGAAGGACUUUCCUGUGAAUAUCAUGUUUAUGUAUGCAUCUGAUGCACCAAAUAAGUUCCCGUUAAUAAAGGAAGGAUAAAUUUAAAGAGAGAAAAAAAGUGACAAAAAUACUUACUUGAUAUUUGAUUUUAGACUUAUAUUUUGAGUAUUGUAAACAUGACUUUUUCUACCUGUACUUACAAGUAAAUUACAAAUUACAAAAAGUAAUGACCAAAAUAGAAGAGAUGAAUUUUAUAAGAAUUAUUUUAGUUUCAAAAUGUUAAUCUUUUCUUUCAUUUUGUUUCUACGGCAAAUUCAAGCCUCGAAGUCGAAGAUUUGCAACAAAUAUAGGGGGUGGAAGCGACAAUGGGUAAGGAACAUGAGGAGGAUAUCUUCGAGAUCAUUAUAGUCAUCGUCAUCAAGAUCUCUUUAACACCAAUGUUGUUCUUAUACACAAGAAGUUGUCACUUGAUAUUUGUAUUCCAAUAUUUCUUCCUCCUCCCCUUGGAACAAUUUGGCUUUGGCUCUGGAGAUGUAGACGUGAUUCAUGGCAAGGAUGUUGAUGAGGAUUUAGAAUAGAUUUGUGGUGUCAAAGAUGUGAGAUCAGAGCGAAGUUGUGACGUCAGAGUUGCAACGUGGGAGUCACGACGUUGUGCCAAAACGCAGAGCCAUGAUGUCAGAGUUGGUAUGGUGAGAGGGGGUGGUGACGGUGGUUUCUUAGGUUUGGGGUUUUCUUUUGUUUUGAGGAGUUAUUUUGCGUUAGGAAGAUGGAAGGGUGGAAAGGUCAAACAUGCCAAUGGUGUUGUCACCAUGAUGGGUUUGGGAUGUCAAAAGAUACCGCUGAAAUGCCAUCGAAAAUCACCUCCAGCGAUGAUGAAUAGUGGUUGGUGGCGAUGAACAAUUGUUGGGGUUGGGGAGAGAGUUGGAGGUGAAAUAAUCAGACAUGUAAGACACAUACUCUAUUUAGAUAGAUUAAUCUAAUGUCUAAAAUUUAUCAAGGUGGUCCACCCCAACCUUUACCUGCAAAAUAAC